rnacentral:misc_RNA from 1 species
GAUGAAGAACGUAGCGAAAUGCGAUAAGUAAUGUGAAUUGCAGAUUCAGUGAAUCAUCGAAUCUUUGAACGCACAUUGCGCCCGCCAGUAUUCUGGCGGGCAUGCCUGUCUGAGCGUCAUUUCAACCCUCAUGCCCCUAGGGCGUGGUGUUGGGGAUCGGCCAAAGCCCGCGAGGGACGGCCGGCCCCUAAAUCUAGUGGCGGACCCGUCGUGGCCUCCUCUGCGAAGUAGUGAUAUUCCGCAUCGGAGAGCGACGAGCCCCUGCCGUUAAACCCCCAACUUUCCAAGGUUGACCUCAGAUCAGGUAGGAAUACCCGCUGAACUUAAGCAUAUCAAUAAGCGGAGGA